rnacentral:rRNA from 1 species
UACGUAGGUGGCAAGCGUUGUCCGGAUUUACUGGGCGUAAAGAGCGCGCAGGCGGUCGUGCAAGUCGCGUGUGAAAGCCCCCGGCUCAACUGGGGAGGGUCACGCGAUACUGCUCGACUUGAAGGCAGGAGAGGGAAGUGGAAUUCCCGGUGUAGUGGUGAAAUGCGUAGAUAUCAGGAGGAACACCGGUGGCGAAGGCGGCUUUCUGGACAGAAACUGACACUGAGGCGCGAAAGCUAGGGGAGCAAACAGG